AAGAAUAUAAUUAACAUGAAAUCUAUUUGGAGAAUAUUGUAGAACACAGUAAAAGUAUUCGUUCAUAUCUUUUAUACAAAAUAAUUCGUGCUAGAAUGCGAUGAGUUCCGGAUCGUAGAGAUCAAUUCACGUAUUCUCGGAUCGUCCACGAAAGUCCUCUAAAUUCUAACACUCCAAACUGGCAGUAGAUCGAGUUACGUUCCAAAUUCUCUAGAAGCAAUAGGUUAAUGGAUGAUGUGAUUUUUCUCUCUUAUAAUAUGGCGCACAUAUUUUUCAUGAAUUUUUGAAUUUUUUUUUCUAUUUUUUUCCUGUUCAUAAUAAUCUGUA
rnacentral:lncRNA from 1 species